rnacentral:rRNA from 1 species
GACGAACGCUGGCGGCGUGCCUAAUACAUGCAAGUAGGACGCACAGUCUAUACCGUAGCUUGCUACACCAUAGACUGUGAGUUGCGAACGGGUGAGUAACGCGUAGGUAACCUGCCUAUUAGAGGGGGAUAACUAUUGGAAACGAUAGCUAAUACCGCAUAACAGUAUGUAACACAUGUUAGAUGCUUGAAAGAUGCAAUUGCAUCGCUAGUAGAUGGACCUGCGUUGUAUUAGCUAGUAGGUAGGGUAAUGGCCUACCUAGGCGACGAUACAUAGCCGACCUGAGAGGGUGAUCGGCCACACUGGGACUGAGACACGGCCCAGACUCCUACGGGAGGCAGCAGUAGGGAAUCUUCGGCAAUGGGGGGAACCCUGACCGAGCAACGCCGCGUGAGUGAAGAAGGUUUUCGGAUCGUAAAGCUCUGUUGUUAAGGAAGAACGAGUGUGAGAAUGGAAAGUUCAUACUGUGACGGUACUUAACCAGAAAGGGACGGCUAACUACGCGCCAGCAGCCGCGGUAAUACGUAGGUCCCGAGCGUUGUCCGGAUUUAUUGGGCGUAAAGCGAGCGCAGGCGGUUAGAAAAGUCUGAAGUGAAAGGCAGUGGCUCAACCAUUGUAGGCUUUGGAAACUGUUUAACUUGAGUGCAGAAGGGGAGAGUGGAAUUCCAUGUGUAGCGGUGAAAUGCGUAGAUAUAUGGAGGAACACCGGUGGCGAAAGCGGCUCUCUGGUCUGUAACUGACGCUGAGGCUCGAAAGCGUGGGGAGCGAACAGG